rnacentral:pre_miRNA from 1 species
AGCUUUUCGAAUCCGUGCUGAGAUUUCGUCACACACCAACCCAUUUGCGCUGUUCAGACGUCCAAGAUAAGUGAAGUG